rnacentral:rRNA from 1 species
CACAGGUGCUGCAUGGCUGUCGUCAGCUCGUGUCGUGAGAUGUUGGUUAAGUCCCGCAACGAGCGCAACCCUUGUCAUUAGUUGCUACAUUUAGUUGGGCACUCUAAUGAGACUGCCGGUGACAAACCGGAGGAAGGUGGGGAUGACGUCAAGUCCUCAUGGCCCUUAUAGGUGGGGCUACACACGUCAUACAAUGGCCGGUACAAAGGGCUGCCAACCCGCGAGGGGGAGCCAAUCCCAUAAAACCGGUCGUAGUCCGGAUCGCAGUCUGCAACUCGACUGCGUGAAGUCGGAAUCGCUAGUAAUCGUGGAUCAGAAUGUCACGGUGAAUACGUUCCCGGGUCUU